rnacentral:rRNA from 1 species
AUUGACGGGGGCCCGCACAAUCGGUGGAUCAUGCGGUUUAAUUCGACGCUACGCGAAGAACCUUACCAGGGCUUGACAUCACCGUAAGGAACCGUGGCUCCCUGGAAACAGGGAGUCUUAGGUAGACAGGUGUUGCAUGGCUGUCGUCAGCUCGUGUCGUGAAAUGUUGGGUUAAGUCCCGCAACGAGCGCAACCCCUAUCUCUAGUUGCCAGCGGUCCGGCCGGGGACUCUAGAGUAACUGCCGUCUCUAUACGGAGUAAGGUGGGGAUUACGUCAAGUCAUCAUGGCCCUUAUGUCCUGGGCUACACGCGUGCUACAAUGGCUGAUACAAAUGGAUGCAAUACCGUAAGGUGGAGCAAAUCCCAUAACAUCAGUCCCAGUUCAGAUUGGGGUCUGUAACUCGACCCCAUGAAGGCGGAAUCGCUAGUAAUCGCGUAUCAUAUACGUACGCGGUGUUACGUUCCCGGUCUUGUACACACCGCCCGUCACAUGACCCGAGUUGGCUGCUCCCGAAGUGGC